GCUGACUCAGAUACUUGCACUGAAUUUUGGCUGUUGUUGAUUAAUCAUUGCACUGAAAUGUGCCUUUUACUAUGGAAACCUGCCAGUGAGGCAUGACGUAUGCGCACUACGCCGCCAGUCUACUAAAAUACCACUAGACCAGCUGCACUUCACCUGCGCUGAAAGCUGACCAGGUUUGAAUUAGCUAGCUUCAGCACACUUUCCACGCUGCAGGCGGACACGAAAAUGUCACUACGCCAGCUGAAUUUGUCGACACCUUUUCCUACCGCGCCACCAUGCCUAGCUUGGCGGAUCUCAGUGUGCCUCAGUCUACAAAAAAUGUGUGCCAGUCUCUGUUAGACGAAAAUACCACUGCGCAGGGUGUGCCACCCUCCGCCGCGCUGCUGACGGGCAAAUAGAGCCCUGAGAUUUCAUCCUUGUAAUCUGAUGUCUUAAAUCUUGUUAUACUUUGUUUUGAUGUUAUCUUAAUGUUGUUUUUACUCCUGCUGUAAGUUAGAAAUAUAACUCUAAUCUUACACUGUGUGUCUGAUGUUAUUUUCCUGCUAAAUGGGGACAAAUUCAAUAAUCUAGUAAAGUGUUUGAAGCUUUCUCAAAUAGAGGUCACUCUCAAGUCACUUUCAAGUACAAAACGCUGACUUCAAACAACUUUAUUUCAUGUUAUGAACAUUUUCUCAUAUACCUUUAUUACAUAUCAUUUUUUAGAAACUGACUGCAAUCACCUUAUGCCAUAAUAAAGAAAAGCAAAAUAGAAAACAGAAAGACAGGGGCCAUAGUUGUGUCAUAAACUGUGACUGAAUCUGAGCUCCUCCUGAAGAGAGGAAGGGAAGUACAAACAUUUUCACCAUUACAUCUGCUCUUGGAAUUUUUCAGCGUAUAAACAUGAUCUGAUGGACUUUUGUGACUUUACAACAUUCUACAUUAGAAACAUUGUACUGUAUUUACAGAGGAGGGAAAGGAAGUGAACUCAGAGAGGAGGGUUCGAACCAGAAACUCACCAAACUCACCAAGGAUCUCAUGCUUCAUGUUAAAGUCUCAGAGAGGUUCAUAGAAACUAAGAGAGUCACACACACACACACACACACACACACACACACACACACACACACACACACACACACACACACACACACACACACACACACACACACACACACACACACAGUGGUGAUGCUUUGAGGCGAUGCUCAGGAGUAAACUAUUGAGCUGCAUAUCUACAGUCUUGAGUAGAUACCAGGUCUGUCUACAGGAUCUACAGCUGAAUGUUCAUAGGCUGGCUGUUGGUUUGUAGGAGCAGUGAACGACAGUUUCCCUUUAUUACUUUCAUGGGUGAGACAGCGCUGCAUGGCUUUUACACAAGGGUCCUCAGUAUCAGUCACUGUUUUUUUGUUUGUUUGUUUUGUUUUUAAUGCUUUUAACCUGCAACUACAUUCCUCUUUAGGGAGGCUUUCCCCACAUUGAAAGAGCCUGGAGUUUAAACCAAAGACUGUGUAGAAACAUGGACAGCACAAAAGCUCCCCCAAAGUGUGUUAAAGAGCUACAGAAAAACAAAAAAAAUUAGGAAUGAAGUUUUAAAGAUUUGCCAUAUUUUGCCCUUAAGUCGUCACUAUCACUAGUAAAUGUGAAUUUUUAGGGUCUUUAGCAGAAUUACAGCUCAUCAAAUAAGAAAACUAUAUCAUUUAAUGGCUAUUUAGAAUGACCUGCAUGACAAACAUAUAGAUGAUGACUUUUAUUAUCAGCGAUCUUCAGCGUAACAUUCUCACAAGUGUUUUCUUAGUCUACCUCCAUCGAACUGCCAUGUGACCUGACAGCCCAUCAAUUUUCAGAGUUUUCAUUCUGAGGCUCUAUGAAAAAAAGUGACCUACACUGACUCUGUGAGGCAGCUGUAGCUCCGGCUGUAUCACCACUUCAUCAUUCUUAAACAGUGUCAGUAUCCUGACAAAGAGAAAUGAGUGUCGACCCGACUCAGCUAACAGUUAUAAUUCAUACAAAGGUCACGUGACUUAAGACAAGGUUGUUUAUUCAGUUUGGUGGCAGACUGGAAAACAUUUUGAUCACCUGGAAUUCCCAUUUACCGUUGUUUAUUUUGGAUGUACCGCACCCAAAAGUGGGCGUGUCUGUUGAUAAUGCUGGAGGUGUUGAUUAACUUUUCUAUUCCAUCUUAGAACUCAUGAGAAUAACAGUCAUCCAAAAGAUUUUUAAUCAAAGUCUGAAUUUGGACUCUUAAAGAUUUGACUAGAAACUCAAAAGUUUGGCUUAAACUUUGAAUUCUGACCGAAGUCAUGAUUCUGGCUUGAAUUUCUACUUAAUUCAAAUAAUCUCAGAAAAAUGUAAACAUUUUUAACGUAAAAAUUCAUUUGAGAAUUAAAGCUUUAAAGCAGAUGAAAGGUGACUGCUAGCUUUUUCCAGUCAGGUGAUCAAUAAUUAGUUCUUCUCAAAAAUUAGUCUCAUCCUGCUCUUUUAAUUCAGCCAAAUGUGUCACUCAACAAAACUUUUUGUGGUUGAAAGGUAAAAAAAAAAAAAAAAUUCCUCUGCCUCCGCCCCCUGCCUCCACCAGUGGUUUCUGACAUGAAAGAUAACUGCACAGAGAAAGUCACUCUUUGUCUUGGUGGUCUUUUUGCUUGUUUAGGUCCUGAGGUAGCAUCAGUUUUAAUCUCAGUCCGUGUUAUGACCGACAGAAAACUCCUCACAGGAGCUUUAAUCUCAGGAUUUGGAGAAAAAAGUUAGGUUACAAAAUUCAGACCUCAAAAACCUGAAGCCUUCAGGAACUCCUUUCCUGUUUGCUCUAUUAUGAGGAAAGUACUGAACAUGCUUUCUGUGGGCCUUGGUUCACAGACUCUAUCCCAUCACCCCCUCCUCUUCUUUACCUGGCUCGAAAAUAUCUCUCCCAGUACAGUACGUCAGCUUGUCAGAGUUUUGGCUGCACUGUUUUACAAAGGGAGGAGGUGUGCCGUCCAUAUUAAUCUGAAAUAGGGAUGGCUACACAGUUAAAACUCAACACAAAGAUUUUUCUUUUACUUUUAAAAU